rnacentral:tRNA from 1 species
CAAAAAAUAGUUUAUAUAAAAAUAAUAAUUUUGGAGAUUAUAGAUAAAGAAAUUUCUUUUUUUUUGA